UUUAUGUAUAAAAAUUUUGGCAUUUUAUGCAGCUUCGACAAAAAUGCAGGCUGUACCAAAUUAUCACAAAUAGCGGCGCUCAUACAUUGCCUUAAGUACAAGGUUUGGCUAAUGGACUGGUAAGCCUAAACUUAUCUCGGACAAUUCACGACUUAAGUUCGAGUUCGAGUAUUUAGCAUUUUUUAAUGGGUCGAUUAAAAAUCCAAAUAAAGUAAUGGGAAAAGCUAAUGCCCUUUCAGUACUUUUUUAUUUUCAAGAAAAAUAUCUUUAUAGGUAAUCUAGAUUGAUUUUAAUUAACUUUUCAAACAUAUGAGGUGAUGGAGUGCACAAUCCACCAAUUUAACAAAUUACAGGACUUAUUUCGUAGCAAUGAAAGUAUCUGUUAGGUCAAAAUUCAUAUUAACAACCCUAUAUGUAAUUUCUAAUUAACACGUAGUUACUUAAAUUUUUUGGAUUUUCUCUCGUUUAAUGAAAUCUAAGUUAUAUGUCUUGCAAUUUAAGUAAAUGGCUUAAUUCUAAUAACGGACAAUUUCUAAUCAAAUGGAUCUAGCAACAAUUAUUAAAUGACAUGAACCUAAUUCUAUAUAACAUGUGCAUGAUAUUUUUGUAUUUUUUUUUUAUAAAAAUUCAUAGUUAAAAAUUACUAACAAUAAAAAUCUAAUUGAAGUGAGCUAUUUUAAGUUAGGAAAUAGACUAAUCUAAAUCCUAUAUUAACUUAGAAAUUUAUCUCGACAUGCAAUUAAUUCCAAGAUAUUAUCUAACCUAGAUAUAUCUAAACAUGCAUUCUAAUAUAAUUAGAAAUUUAUCUAACUAUUCUAUGAUGCAAUUCGAUCUAGGAAAUCAAUUGUAAAAUUACAUGAUAUGCAAAUGCAAUCUUUUUUUUGUAUUUUUUGGAAUAAAUAAUGCAAUUAAGGCAAGAUAAACACCAAAUCAUUCAUAGUCAUAGUCAUCAAAGAUAUCAUCCAUUGUUCGAAUUAGGAAACAAUAUCUAAUCAUCUUGAUUAUUUUGCUAAUAAAAUCAAUAAAUUGAUCUUAAGCCCUAAAAAUCAAAAUGUCAAUUUUAUUAAAAAACCUAUCAUUCAAAUAUGCACAUAAGAUAUUGAAAAGCAUAAAUUAGGCAAUAAAAUACACAAAUCAAAUUUAGAUAAGAUAAUUACCUAAUUCCGUAAAUAAUAUUGCCAAAUUUGAAGCAAAUGGAAUCCUCUUAACGGAUGACCCGUGGUGGCUCACAGCUGAGACUCGACAUGGUGAAGAGGUGGUGCUACAACACCAAGGGCUGUUAGACGAGUGGCGCAGGCCGGCGAGGCUUGCGGAUAGCAAUUUGCGUUGAUGCUUCUUAGCACAAUGAGACAAUUCUUGGUGAUGUGCACAAGGUUGGGAUUAAAAACUGUUAAGAGCAAUUCACUGGAGACUCCACAAACACCAGGAGUUUUGGACGUGAUGAGGGUAGCAACGGACGCUUGAAUAACACGCGGCAACUUUCGGAUGCUCUAACAGUCUUAGCCGCUUGUGGGAAACCGAUGAUCAGCACCACAACUCGUCGUCAGGGUUGUGGCUGGGCUCGGCAGCAUAGCAAGUGAAGAGUAGGAGACGUCAUGGACACAUUGGACAGCAGCUCGGACCAACGGGACAACGGCUUGGUCGUGGUUGGCAUUGUCGGAAACGUGGCUAAGUAGCGGCGCGAGUCGCUGGACGUCGUUGGGCUCCCUCUUUCAAGGUGCCCGAGAUGCUUGCUGCGCCGAACUACGGAUGGGGGCGUCGGGGAAGCUGCGGAAAGCGUCCAGAAUUUUAGGCAAAGGACACGACUUGCCCAGGAAGGAGAUCAGCUUCUUCUGUUGACCUUUGACCUAGUUUUCUCCUCCUCUCUUCCCUCAUGAGCCGACGUGCUCUCAUGAUGUGCCACCGCCUCCUCUAACUUGUGUAGCCCCCCUUUUAUAUGCAAAGUAACAAUGCCCAUCAAAGAAAGAAAUCACAUGGCGCGGCCGAGGACACGAUUUUGUUUUCUUCUAAUUGCGGAUUUUUUCCUUGGACGAAUAUGUAUUCUUCCCUUUUCUUCUUCAACCGAAUAUUUCUUCUUUCUAUUGACUAAUCCCAUACAUUAACCCACCUUCCUUUCUGAUCAUGGGUAUGUGAAGAUGCCGACCAAAAUAUUUCGUGGAGAUAUUCAUUCUUGUUUCAAAACAAAGAUAUAUUGCUCAAAG
rnacentral:lncRNA from 1 species